GACGUAGGGGGCCAGCGUUGUUCGGAAUUACUGGGUGUAAAGGGUUCGUAGGCGGUGCGGCAAGUCGGGAGUGAAAUCUCUGGGCUUAACCCAGAGGCUGCUUCCGAAACUGCUGUGCUUGAGUGUGGGAGAGGCGCGUGGAAUUGCAGGUGUAGCGGUGAAAUGCGUAGAUAUCAGGAGGAACACCGGUGGCGAAGGCGGGUCUCUGGGCCGAUACUGACGCUGAGGAGCGAAAGCGUGGGGAGCAAACAGG
rnacentral:rRNA from 1 species